AACCGAGUUAGGAGAGGGACCAGCUUGCUCUUGUGCGUGGAACACCCACCCGCCCUCUGAUCCCCGCAUGCCCUGUGGAAGAGUCCAUGCUGAGAUCUGAGUGGAGAAACGGAGGCACAGAGCAGAUGUUGAGGGCGUGCCCUGUGCGAGAAGGAUGUGCGCCAUCCUCACCGCGGGUCUAAGUCUCCUCUACGCACUGGUGGCUCUUCUCCGUAAGUCAGCACCGCGGCCCCUCGAGCCCUUUCCUGCUGGGCCGCUCCCCAGCCAGGACCUGCCACCCGCCCACCAUGGCGGCGCCCACGAGGCCCGGCCCCUGCGCAGGCAAUGGCUGCUCUAAGGCAGGGUCGCCCCCAAGCACAGCCUCUGCACCGCGGCUGCCGGACAGGGUUGGGGCCAAUGCUCUGGAGAUGUUUCCCCUGGGGUGUGUGCGCCCCGACUGCUCAGGGGUCUGCCUCUGCCUCCCCACCAGGCCAGGAGCCCCAGAAAUCUCAGCUUCCCAUAGGGAGACCGACCCCUCCUCCCGCUCUGGCCUCUCUUUCCCCUCCCCGCCCCGCCUCUUCCCCUCUUCUGCUCUCUUAGGCAUGGACUUGGAAUUCCAACACCUCUGCUUCCUUUACAUGGUGGCCGCUGGUGCCCUGGCGCCUCUCACUCUCACAGAGACACACACGACGCCCCUUUCCCGUGAUGCUCCCUGAUAUCUCUCUCCUCCAGCUCAGACCCUCUAGGCUCUGUGCCUGGCAACUCGGACGCUGUUAUAGAAGUGCAUGUCACAGCCGACAUCUGUGCAGUGAUGGACAACACAACAAAUCAAUGCUUGGACUAGUUUUUCCCUACUUGCUGGUUCAACCUACAGUGCUUUUUAAUACAUCUUGUCCUUGCGGACAAGGACAACAGCAGGGACUUAGGACGUGGGGGAUACGUGGCCGCUGCAGCCAGCAGCAGCGAGGGUGUCUGGGACGGCAGAGGAGAGGCCCAGCAGCCAGUGCCGAGUGCUAGGGACACACAGGUCCUGCAGAGCCCGUGUUGGUGUAGACUAUCACCCCAUAGAAGAGAGAAUGGAGACCCCGGAGGUUACAGCCAACAUCACUGUUAGAGUCACAGCCUCUCUGAGCUGGGAACGCCCUCCAGGGCCACCUGGCCAACCACCUGCCUGCAUCAGCCACGGACACUCCCCGGCAGGCGGUGCUCCCACCACGCCAGAUCCUCCCACUUCUGGCCCUUUGACAAAGUCUCCUUACAAUAAGCUCACACUUUGCUUCCACGCCCCAGGAGCCAAGCAUGAGCAGCCUUCAGAAAGGUCAUGGAAAAUGCAUAGCAGGAAGAACCACGCACGGCCCUCAAUGUCGUCCUGCACCAAAACGAACAAAUCUAUUAAUUCCACUUGCUGGGGCCUUUUUGAAGCGUCCUCGUAGGGCAGAGCCCGGCCUCCCCCACAUCUCUGAACUCACCUGGCGCCGCCUGCCGGGUCAUGGCCAAGCCAGCAUCCUCAGAUGCUCCCCAGACCACCUGGUCUCUUCCUGCUCCAAAAACCCCCACUGUUUGUUUCACUCCCUUUAGAAAUGCGGGCACAGGACCAAACAUGAGCUCCAACAACGCCUGAAUUCACUCGCCAAGCUUUUCAACCUUCUCUUCCUUGCGCAAGAUCACGGUCACUCGCUCAGGGCAGGGAUGGGCUGAGAGACCAGGAAAGGGAGGGGGACACCGCCGUCUGUGGGCUGCUCCCCUCUGUCUCCCAGGAGGAACCUCCCGCCCUGCGAACGCUGCUGGGGAGCUGGCGCCGAGCUCCGCCCUGGAGCCUGCCGUCGCCGUAUCUAUAUAUACCAGGGCGCUUUAUUUCGUGGGAAAAUGGAAUUCCAAGAGGCUCGUUUUUGGCACAACAAUUUUUGAAAUCCAUGCAUCUUAUUUUCCAUAAUACAACUUUUCCAUGAACAUUCUGAAGACCUCACAUUUGCAUGGAUUGCAAUAUUUUUUGCACCAAAAUAAACCUAUCUUUUAAUUUCCUUGACCACAGACUUACGAAGUCCCCUCACCUGCUCCCAGCAGGACUUACACAGUUGAAACCAACGUCGGCUGACGACAGGAACGCACUGGGUAGGGUUCGGAUCGCUCACUCUACACCAGUCACGUCCGAGACGGCUGCUCGAGGCUGCUCAAGUAUCUAUUCACCAGAAGUCAAGAUCAAGCACAGCAAGUGGACUGAGACUGAGACUACUGUAGGAACCCGCGCAGGCCUUCUCGUGUCGGCAAGUGAGACAAGGAGAAACAGUUGCCACAGGCGGCCCCGACCACUCUGCAGGGAGCUUGCAGGGCAGAGCUGGAGAGCUGGGCAGCGCUGGGGUUCACCACGCUGGCACGGAGGCCAGCUCCCAGGAGUGGGCGGCUUUGUUGCUGCAUGGAAGUGGCUGUGUCUCCUUGAGUCCAUCCUGACCAAGCCUGGUGUGUCCCGAGUGGCUGGGGGGUGGUCACGGCGUGGAUCGCUGGCUGGGAAAGAGCCUCCCACCGAGGGGGACCUCACACAGCUCAGAGACGGCCGUGUCUGCCUGCUCUCUCCAGGCUGCUAAGAGGCCACGGCUGCACUGAGCUGGCCUCUGCUUGGACACACCCUGCGACCUCAGCUGCAGAUAGCCCAGCAGGUGACCCGCACCUGCUCCUGAGGGAGCUGCUGAGCGCUAAUCCAGUCAUGGGCAGUGGGGCAGUGGGAGAGACUCAGUAAGCACAGUGAGUGGGCAAGCUACAUGGGGCCUUGGGGGUGGAGGGAGGGCAGAAAACAGGCCUCCUCACUCAGGGCUCCCGCACCCGCACUGUGCUCCUCUGUGAGACGAGGGGGCAGGGCCAGACGGGCUGUGAGGUCCACCACCACCCAUGAGCCGAGUGACAAGAGGGCCUUCAGGGAGCAGCGGGCUCCAGAGAGCAGAGGCGAUGGGGACGGCGACUCCGCCUCUUCCUGGCACCUGCUGCUCCUUCUCUGGGAGGCCCCUGGAGGAACUGCCUUAUCGUCGGGCAGAUCAGCAUAGGGACGAGCCAGGGCAGCUGGCCUGCUGCACCCCACGGAAGUUGGUCCUCCAGGGAUGGCCAGUGGCCCUGGGCCUUCAUGCCCCCUUGUCUGCAGGGAGUGUGCCCUGGGGCCCCAGGGGUGCCUGAAAUCAAGGCCAGCACUGAACCUGUCUUCUCUUCCUUCUCACCGCGGGUCGGAUCAACCCAGGAACGUUCAGCUUUGCACCCAGAGGAAGCACUUCCGGCUCCAGCUGCACCCAGACUGUCAGCAUUGUGGCUGUUGCCACGGCACUGCAAUGGGAGACCCGGUGGUGGCUCAGGGACUGGGGGGUGGGCAGCAGUGCAGAUGGGGCACGUGCCCUGGAGAACAGACCACCCACGGCCCAGGUAGGCGCAGGGGUGGGAGUGGGACAGUGCACAACGUAAAAUGGAUAACUCCUUUGUUUCUGGGAUGUUUCCAUUAAAUAUUUCAGGCUGCAGUUGACCCUGGCUAACUGGAGCUGCAGGACGUGAAUUGGGAGGUGGGGGUGGGGACGGCUGUGUUCCACCUUCAUGGGUUCUGUGACUCCACUGCGACCGAAGCUGACCAGAAGCCAGCGUGCAGCCCAGCUGAGGUUUGCCGGGGCCUAGGCCCGAGCAAAAGGAAGGCAGCGCCACCGGAAGAGGCUCUGCCCCCUCCUCCCCACCAGGAGGGGGCACGUGCUCUGAGGGGGCGGUGCCCGGGCAGCACUCGCACUUGGGGCAGUUCAGGUGCGAGACAGCAGGGGCCUGCCUCCCUGUCCCUGUCCCGUCUCAUCCCCAGCAGCCGACUGAAGGAGAGGCAGUCACAACACACGCCCAGCGAGAGGGGCUGAGGUGGGGAGCCAAGGGUGCUCUCAGACACGGAAGGGGGUGUGGCACUGAGUGUCUCGGGAAAACCAGACAGAGCAUAACACCAGCCGACGACAAACCUGAGCGACUCAGCCUCGGCUCUCAGCCGGCGUGUGGCGGCGGAGGUGGGCGGGUGACUGCAGGGCGAGUGACAAAGUUCCGCUCUGAAUCGGGAAGACCCUCAGGGUCUCGCUCCAGACGCACCCCAGUCGUAGGUGGGGCUGGAGGGAGCAGGCGCGUUUGCAGGGACCUGAGACCAGCACCCAGCACCGGAGGAAUGCUGAUGCCUCUAGUCAUUUCUACUGCCCUGGCCAUGGCCAUUUUUUUUUCUUUUUGAAACGUCUGUGUUCUGUAGAGAGCCCAGGGCUGCGGGCCCCUUGAGGCUCCAGCUUCCCCAGGGCAGGGACGGAGCCCUCAGCUCCUGGCCAGGGUCUGUUGUGAAAUACGAAGGCCAAUGAAUCAGAACGAAGGACCGACCCGUACUUUAUCUGCUGAAUGUUGCAGGCGCUGGGGAAGCGAGACGCCGGGCAGCCCAGCCACACGGGGUGAGGGCGCCGUCCCGGGCUUGCGCCUGCGUCUCCGUCAGCAGCUUUGGAGGCUGCAGCCCAGAGGCUGAGGUGAGGGCGUGGCUCCACGUGCAUGGGGAGAACCCCGCAGGGAGCCCCGUGAAAACACCCAGUGGGGCUUUUUCCCUCAGCCUCUUUUCCUGAGGGAGCAGACCUGCACUCCGGUUGGGUUGUGGACAGGGCCAUGCUGUACCAAUGACUCAUCGCCACUCGGGCCGCGCCAGCUGCCUCCCCGACCACAGCCCCGUCUUAGCUGAAAUGCCUUUUCUCUCUGUUUUAAGAUCCGGGUACAUGGGGGGAGCUCUGGGGUAAGUUUUUCCCAUGAAAACCGAUGCCCUGUCCUCCUGCCAGCCUCUCCCUUCCCACCCACAGAGUCGGUCAGUCUUCCCACGCUUGGGCACCACAAGCAUGCACAGCCACUGGUGGGGGCCCCACGGCCACCCAGUGCCGACCCGGCUCUCAGCUGGGAAUGGCCAGGCCAGCGGAGAGGGUGACCACGGCCGGCUUUGAUUCCAGGCGCAAUGCAGAUCGCGCAUUCCCUAGAUGUGAGGUCAAAACAGCCAGAGCCCAACCAAGCGGAGGAAGAGCAGAGGCGUCUCAAGUUCCUUCAAACUUGUUCUUGGGCAGAGAUCCUGGUAGGAGUAUUAUCAUCAGUGUGGUUCAGUGUAUCAGAAAGAGAGAGAGAGAGAGAGAGAGAGAGAGAGAGAGAGAGAGAGAGAGAGGCUUCCAUCUGCUGGUUCAUUCCCCGCAUGCCCACAAACAGCCAGGGCUGCUCCAGGCUGAAGCUGGGAGCCACGAGCUCCAUCCAUUUUCCCACGUGGGAGGCAGGGUCCCAAGUGCCUCCCAGAGUGCACACUAGCAGGAAGCUGGAUCAGAAGCAGACGAGGCAGACUCGAACCAGGCUCUCAGGUGGGACGUGGGGGUCCAAGCAGUGACCUAACCACUGUGGUGAGUGUUCACCCCCUCUUAGUUUCUGAUGGACAAGCCUUGGAAUGCUACCUUCACCAGGUUGUAAAUGUUGGCAACACCAAUAUUUGGACAAGCUGACAUCAAGAGACUCCUUGAGUGCUUCACUGGGCAGGGACACGGAUGACUUCCAGGUGUUCCUGCCAGAAAGCAUGUCCCGAACCCAAGCACAGGGAAAUAGCAGAAACCCGCACGGCAGGGCCCUCUACAAAAUAACAGCCCUGUGUUUUCCCAAAGGUCAAGGUCAAGAAAGACAAAACGGGAGACUAAAGAGAUGUCUCAACUAAGUGAAGUACACGAAUUUUCUAUUUGAAAGGCAGUUACAGAGAGGUCUUCCAUUUGUUGGUUCAUGCCCUGAAUGGCCACAACCCAGCCCAAAGCCAGGAGCUUCCUCUGGGUCUCCCAUGUGGGUUCAGGGGACCCAGCACCUGGGCCAUCCUCCACUGCUUUCCCAGGUGCAUUAGUGGGGAGCUGGAUCGGAAAUGGCACCCACACCGGGUGUGGGCUGCAGGCAGCAGCUUAACCCACCAUGCCACAGUACCAGGCCUCGAAAUACAUGAUCUUGAAGUUGAUCCCGAGGCUCUAGAAGGCGUCGUAUGAAUGACGACAUCCGGGUACAGACUGCGGAUUGGAUACUGACACUCGGGCAAGUCUGAUCUCUACGCCGCGGCUGUGUAGGAGUGUUCUCUGUUCCCAGGAAGCACAGUGAUGUUGCCAAGUCCCUGCUCAAUGGACUUGGCGCCGUCAACCCUGCAGGGAAGGUAGGCUCCAUCUCUGUCUACCGUGGAUUGGCCAAAUGUGAAACGUCGGCGAUCUCCCUCAGGGGUGUGAGGCUAUCCCCUCAAGCAGGCUUGCGACUUUUCUGGAAGUUUGGAAAUGCCACACAGGCAUCCCAGCCGUAAAUCCAACGGGACCAGGACACAGUUACCGGCUUGAUCCUCAAAAGGAAAACUUCGCAAUCUGCCAGCCGCUGUGGGGGGAGAGGGGGCCCCUCCUGCCCUGUGAUCCCUGGGGGACAGAGCGGGUCUGUGUCUGGAUUCCCAGCGCCAUGGGACUGACAGCAAGGUCACCACCCUAUUCCUGGGCUGAGCUCACUGCCGCCCGAGACCUGCAGCCGGCCUCACGGCCCAGAGCGGUACAGGGAGCGUAGAGGGAGCGCCUCCCCUUUCUCUCCACGGCAUGCUCCCAGCCUGCAGGAGGUGUAAUCUACCACAGAGCAGUCCAUGAAAGACAGAAGUAGUGGCAGAGCAAGUGUUGCUGGCUGGGGGUGCGGAGGCCGUGACUGACUGCUUGUGGGAGGGGCGGGAUUGGAUACAUGCACUCCUCACAGACCUGUGCACGAGAGGGGUGCUGCUGUGAUGAGGUCGUUAAGCUGCCCCGUGCGACACUCCAGCAUCCCACGUUUCAGUGCCGGUUCAAGUCCCGCUGCUCAGCCUCUGAUCCAGCGCUCUGUUAUGCACCCGGAUGCUGGGGUCCCUACCAUCGAGUGGAAAGCCUGGAUGGAGUGCCGGAGCCGGCUUCAGCGUGACCUCGGCCUGGCCAUCGUGGCCAUGUGGGGACUGGGCCAGCGGGUGGAAGAGAUCUUUCUCUCCUUUCCUCUGUCCACCUCACCCCCUUCAGUCUGCCAUAAGAAGGAAAAAAAGCCAACUAAAAUGUGCUUCAGAGAAAGGUCACCGCCUAAAAGACAGCAGGUUCCCAGGAACAGUGACAGGGGCAGCGCUGUGACCUGGGCGCCACGCCUGUGCCGUGGGUAGUGUGGGUUCUACACGGCGUGGCUCCCCAGUCCCGGCUCGGUGCGGGGUCCCUGACAGCUCCGGUCUGUUCCUGCCGGAGACCAGUCGUCUCAAGGGAAGUGGUCGUGAGGGGUGCAUGUUACCUGUGGGAGCUGGCAGCCGGAUCCACGAGUGUGCUCUCAAGGUGGACGCGACCUGGUGACGUCCCCACGGCCCAGGCUGGUCUUCCUCAGGGGUCAGAGGCCACCUCACAGUCAUCUCCCAGGUGACUGGAGGAGCAGGCGCAGCUUCCACACUCGAACUUUCGACCUGACCUGUCCAGGUUCAUUCACGCCCUUCGCCAAGGAGCGUGCUCAGCGAGAUCCCGCGGCAGCGCCUCCCUCGUCCCUUCCUUCUCUCGGCCUGCCAGGAACACCUUCCUGUGCCGGGUGUCACACGUGUGCCGGUGCGUGAAGAUUCAUGAUGCAUGUGGGCUGCCUCCUCGGAGCUGGUGCUGGCAGAGAGGACGUGACGGCCGCGACAGGUGUGCCAGCCCCGUGGCCACAGCUUUCCCUGCCGCAAUUCAACAAAAUGAGCUUAGGAGCGAUCCACGACUGUUGUGAAUGGCUUAGCAAACAUCUCUACCCCGACUUGGAUUACACAGAGAAAAAAAAAUCAUACAACCCUAGGAUGGGACCCCAAACUGAUCAGCCCAGUAAGGAGUAUCCGCCCCCGAGAGUCCUGCCCCCAGCCCAGAGCUAACCACGCACUGUAGAACCAAAAGUGUGUUUAUUAAUUCAUUUUUAUUUAUUUGAAAGGCAGAGCAACAGAGAUAGAGAUAGCAAGAAAUGAGAGAGAUUGAUCUCCCAUCUGCUGGUUAACUCCCCCCAGAAUGAACAAAAUAGCCAAGGCUGGGCCAGGCCAAAGCCAGGAGCUGUGAACUCCAUCCAGGUCUCCCAUGGGGGUGGCAGGGGCCCAAGUAUUUGGCCCAUCAUUUGCUGCUUUUCUCAGGCCAUUAGCCAGGAGCUGGGUCAGAAGUGGAGCAGCCAGGACACAAAUCAACAUGUGGGAUGAGCCAUCCCGCACUGCCUCCCAUGGACUUCAGCAGGAAGCUGGAGCAGAAGUCGGGCGGGACUUGAUCCUAAGUGGUGGCCUAACCCAUUGCACCACAGCACCUGCCUCUGAUCACUUUUACACCCAACUCACGGCUCCAUGGACAGGAUCCUGUGUUAACUGUAAAAUAACUCAUUCUGCUCUCACCAGGCUGCACCCACCUGAGGCUGGGACUGAGUGCCAGCCACGCUUUUAUCAGCCCCACCCAUCCCUGGGCAGGUGGUUUGCCUUGCAAAUCAGGCGGGUAAUUACUGUGGUUUGCGUUCAGGAGAGGCUGUGCUGGAGGGGACAGAGAAAGGGGAGUGCUUACCCUGUUUGCGAUUUGAGUUUCUUCAUGGCCCUCUUAAGGAAUGCAGGUUUUUAAUAAGCACAAAAGAACACUUUGCAAUGGAUAAAACGAGGCUCUUCUUCAGCCUGUUGCUCCUUAGCCAUGUUAUCUUUAUGCGGUCAUUAUCAUCUCCAGGCUGGGAACUCCCAACUAUGCUAGAACUCACUGAUUUUAGUACCCAUUGAUUCCAGGAUCCUUGCGGCCAGUAGUUCUCAGGACAAAAGCCUCUCUCCUUGAGGUUCUCUGUGUCAUCUUUGCAGUUUUUCCCACCGCUUUCUCUUGACACUGGAAGGACUCCGGGAAAACUGCAGCCCAGCAGAAGACGUCCCAUAAACACCCCGUCAUCUGCGUUUCCUAUCAGGGCCCCUGACAAACCACGUGUUUUCAAAGGUAAUUGGGAGUACAGAGACAAUUUAAGGGUCAUUAUUGUGUUAGCCAAGAAAAUAGCUAAUGAUGACUUCAGCUACUGGGCUGUUCAGCCGAUGUUAGGACCUAUUAGCUCAAUUAAGUAAAUCAAAUAGGAAAAGACAUUUAGACUUGAAAAGCCACCACCCCCCACGACUUGCCUGGCAGGCCAUUUCGUGGUGAAUCCUACGGGCUUGUGUACUCUGUUGAAUGAGCUGAUUUGGCCAACGUACUGCCUCAGGACCACUUGGCAUUUAUAAGCAAAGAUCACGUUAAAUCCCAAGGCCAAGAAUGCAGGUAGGAGGGUCAGUUCAGCGGGCAGAGGCAGGCAUGGGAAACAGCUGUGCAUUUUCCUCCCUGAAGGGAUUUUCUCCCACCCUGCAGUGGUCUUUAGGUCUCUGCAUGUAGGUUGAUGCUCCAAACCCUGCCAGCCCCAAGUGUCUACAGCACCUGGAUCUGGACCGCGCCCCCGAGAGGACGGAGGCUCCUGUGGUCUGGGAUCCUUCUGCUGGGCAGCGCAGAGGUUUGAAGUGAGUCGGAGAGAAAACAGCCCUGCUCGCGUCAUUAACAGUUGCUCUCUGGUUACGACAUUCAGACCACGGCACUGCUGGAGGCCGUCGGUCACGCUCGGCUUUGAUGGAGCGGUAUUUCAUGCCGCAGCAGUUUGGCCCCCGACACAAUCAGCGGUCAGCUGAGGGGCGCCUGCUGCUGGUCUCGGUGGACCCUCCCCUGGUGGCAGCUGCCAUGUGACCAAGGUGGGCCCCUCGCCUCAUCUGACUGCCGGGCAGCUCAGCGAGCAGCUUCGCCGCCGGCGCCGGCAGCUCCUGCACACUCCGGUGUGGCGCAAGAGGAGAGAGGGGAGAGGAAUGGUUGCCUGUAACUGGAAUCUGAGCAUACGCCUCUUAGACACACCUCAGGCUUCCGCUCCCCGCAGAGUUCCUCCCCUUCAGGGGGAGGUGUGGGGCCGCUGACCAGAGCACACCUGUGAGGGACUCGGCUUCAGGCGGGCUCCCUGCCUGCCGUGUGACUGAGAGGAGCAGAGCCUCCCAUGCCCCGGGACUCCUCUGGAAGUGCAAGUCCUUCUCCCUUUCGGCUCCUGGGCACGCAGCUGAGUGUGGGCACUGAUCGUGGGCCUGGAACAGGCACGAGAAACGAGGGAGGACGCACGCGCCCGAAGCUUCCUAGGGACUUCCCAGGAUCGAAGGUUCCUCUCUCAAAGACUGGCCUUCUCGUGGGCUCUGCCUGGGGGCAGGUGCAGGCCUGCUUCCACCUCCCUCUGGCCCAGGAGUGCCCUCAUCCCAGCCCCACCCAGGGUCCGUGCAAGCUCUCCUUCCUGCCUUGGCCAUUGGGUCUGAGAAAUGAAGACGCCCCCUUGUCCCGGCCCCCACGUCUCCGCUCAGUCCUGUGUUACGAGGUGGCCACCAGAAUACCCUCUCACGCCCACGCUGAGACACUCAGCGCUGGAAGAAACACGGGAAUAUCAACAUGUAAAACCCACACAUGCGACGUGCCCCUUGACACAACAUCCCAGCCUAGAGAGACUGGUCCCCUGUUCAGCUGUACCUUAGGACUCACUUCUGUCCACGAUGUUGCCCUUCCAAGAUCAUCAACCGAAAACCAGCCUGCUAUGGAUCUGGGGGACGUCGAGUCCCACCUGCGGUUGCCUGGGCAAGCCAGACGCGUCCCACUCCAGGGCCAAGGUGCACUCUCCCCUCCGUCCGCAUUUUCCCUUACGUGCUCUGUUUAGUUCUAGAGGAUGGCAAGCACUUUCUUGAGCCGUGGGCGCGGACUUAGGCAGGAAAGCUACACUGUACCUGUCAGCUUCCUUCCAGGAACAGGUGACUGAGAUGUGGACGGGGCGGAGAACCAGCCGCACGACUGACGCUGGUGGAGCAGCGAGUGCACACAGGGGAUGGCACUUCUGCCUUCUCUGUGCUCAGCCGGCGGCUGGGAUGGCAGACGCGCUGGGGGCUGGAGGGCGGCGUGAAGACACUAGGAACACGCAGAGCCCGUGGUCCCGGCCAGGUGUUGGCGGUGUCAGCUGUGUGCCAUCGCCGCUGACUGGCAGGCCGUGCAGCUGAGCCACGGCGUUGGUGGGUGCAGGAAGCCAGCACCCUCUCCACCCUGCUCCUGUGUGUCCCUCGGUUCCCGCCCUCCCCAUAGCACCCAUCCGAGUGUUCGCCUUUCUGCAGGUGCAGAGAGGAACCAUGUCAGGAAGCUGUCGGACACUCACCCUUGUAGGGUCUCAGGAUACAGCUCCGCAGCCCAAGGAUUUACAAAACCACGUAAGCUCGGAAGGGAAUGGAAGUGUGUGUUCAAAUGAGGUGAUAGCCAGAGGGCAGAUGUCGGAUUUCUGGCCUUUGUUUGACCACUGAGAAGUUAAAACUGCGUUGGUUUUUUACCUCUCAGAAUCAAAAAGGAAAAUGGGAAAUGGGAGUGUGUGUCAAUUCUACAGGAGAUGCAGCAUGCCGAUGUUUCAGCAGUUAGGGAGAGAAUACGUCUGUUUCCAAUUACACAAACCGGUUAAGAAAGGCAGUUUAAGUCAGCUGAUGUUUUUUCCUUUCAUUUUCUGUGAUUUAAACCAGCUCAUCUUUCACUGUUCACGUGGCGUCGAGGAACUGGGAUGAUUGGAUUAAAAUAUCCACAGUUGUUGCCCUGGCUGUGUGGAUGCAGGACCAGUGUCUAUGCAGGCUGCCUACCUCUCUAACAAGAACUUUAGUAUUGUUUUAUUUAUUAUUAUUUUUAUGAAAUAGAGCACCUGAAGAGGAAUUAAAUGUCUAUUUCCCUCUUUGUGAUUCUCUUAGGCCCAUAAAGUGAUGCCAAUUGGGUCAUUAGUUACAAACAACACUGUCAGCACAGAGUGAAAUCAGUAAUGAACUCGAUGUGCCUCACCUUCACUUACAUCCUGCGUGUCAGGGACAACGUCUUAGCAGCGACAAGCCCGGUAUGGCCACCCAGAGCCUGGACUCUGCAGUGGAGGCCAUGGGUACAGACCUGUACUUGGAGAGACCCGGGAGAAAACGGCCACCAUCGUCCUGAUGCCUCCGUCGUCCUGGGGGUCUCAUAGGCUUCCUCAUCGUGGCCAGUGGGGGCCCAGUCGCUAAUCCUACAGGUCGAAAGCUGAAGAGAGUCCUGAAGACUGCAAAGGGGCUGGAGUGAAGAUGAGUCGCUCCGAUGUGGAGUUGAAUUCCGGCGCUCCAGGGGUGACGUGCGCUGUGCACAAGGGACGUCUCAGGUGGCCCGAGUGACUCGUGUGCCCAGGGAGACCUGAGCAGGUGCAGCGUCCCGUGAACAGGAAGUUCCACAGUAGCUCACACGACUCCCACGGACCCAAGAGCAGGUGAGGUGUGCUAUUCCGCGGGUGGGAGCCCUGCGCAGGUGCAGCGUCCUAUGAACAGGGAGGCGGCGGUCCUGUGGCGCUCCCACGUCUUCUGCAGGCCAUUUCGGAGUAUCGAGGCAGCCCUUCAUAACGAGUACUCAGCAGGGACGGUAACAUUUUGACAGUAUGGGGACAGGGCUCUGCAAACUCUUCAUUUCGAACCCCAUUUUUACUUAUUUUCAGAUAUUUCUCACAGACCCAGAGCUGCUGAUAAACACACCUUAAAAAUUUAAACUGGAUCCAGAUGAAAUAUAUGGUAUUUAUAAAUUAUAAAAGGCAUCCAUUAGACUAGGAAAGAAGGUUAAUGGGAAUUUUUAUGUUUUUCUCUGAUUGUGAAAUGUGUCUUUUUACAGAGAGCUUAUUUUCAAGUGGAAUUAGUUUAAUAAAAACACUACUGAAAAGAAGAGAGUAAUCCCUCACAUGAGAAAACACUACGAUAAUUAUAGACUUUCACCUCGAGCACCGUAUAUUACUUUGAAUUAAUACUCAGUAUCAAUAAAUACAGAAACAAUAGAAGGAAAAACAGAAUCGCAUGUGUUUCCUCAAUCCUAAAAAUUAACAUUGUCUUAACAAUUUUACAUCAUUCCUUGGAAAAUUAAUUCAUCAUUAGAUGUUUUCAAUAAUACAAGAACUGGAAACGUCUGUAAGACAGAAACAGAACAAAAACUCAGAGCUUGUCUAAGCAAUGAGGAUGUUCCUGUUGAACACAGAAGUUCUGAACUUGUCCUCUCACUUGGUCAAGGCUCCCCAAAACACUCAUUCAUUUUCAUUCUUUCUCUCUCCCUCUCACUGUUAAAGAUUUAUUUAUUUAUUUUGACAGGCAGACUUACAGAGGGAGAGACAGAAAGAGCUCUCUGAUCCACUGGUUCAUUGCCCACAUGGCCACAACAGCUGGGGCUGGGCCAGGAACUCCAUCUGGGUCUCCCAUGUGGGUGGCAGGGGCCCAGGGGAUCCUUAAUGUCUCUCCACCAGGGCCCUGCAGGGCACAAAGAUGCACACUGGGGUGGGCCCCAGGGGUCUCCAUGUGCCUCCCUCACAAGCACAUGGCUGAUGACUUGGCUGGGUGCGGCAAGGUUCACUGUGGCUCAGCAGAGAGCAGCCUUAGGAACAGCGGGUAGCACUGGCUGACGGCUGGGAGCUGCCGAGGUUCCAACCCAGCCAGGCAGAAGCAGACACGCUAGGAAAGCCACCCUUGGAGGAGCAGGAACGUGCCCCAGCGUAAGCCUGUUGCAGACAUGACCUGGUAAAGUCUAGAAUGAGACCACCUCUGCACAGGUUCAGCUCCACUAGCUUGGAACUGAGCUGUCUCCUAAAGCGAAGCCUGAACUUCCCCAGGAAGAUGAGGGGCUCCUGAGACUCCAAGACCCUUCAUCCGUGCUGUUGAGAAAACAAUAAAAAAGUACCAGGAGAAAAGCAAAAUGUGGGAAAAUGUGACCAACAGUCAGGGGAAAAGCAAAUAAUUCACGUCAAAGUAGGCCGGAAGAUACUACACAGAUCAUUAAGGCCGAUAGAACAGACAUGUUCCAAGGACUUAGAGAAAAAUAGUAUCUUAAUAAUGAGUGGUUAGGGCAAUUCAACAGAGAAAUGGAAAAAAGAAAUGAAAAUUCUUGAGAAAAAGACUAAAAUAACUUGGAUUUUUAAAACAGGGGGCAAGCAUUGGCCUAGUAGGUAGGACGCCCACAUCCCGCAUGGGAGGGUGUGAGUCUGAUUCCCGGCUCCAGCUCCUGGUUCUGCUUCCUGCCAGUGCAGACCUUGGGAGCGAGCAGCAAAUGACAGAUCAGGCACUUGAAUCCCUUCAGUGUAGAAGACUGAGUGCUGGGUAUUUGGAGAGUGAACUCUGUGUCUCUCAAAAGUACAAAUAAAGAAUAUAAAUAUCUUUUUAUGGGGUCAGUUUCUCUCAAGUCCACAAACAGAAAGGAUAGUGCAGCAGUUGUCCUUUGGGCUUGUUUCACUCAGCAUCAUGGUCUCUGGGUUCACCCCUGUGGUCUCGGGUGGCAGGCACACAUUAUCUUCUGGCUGUAGAGUAGUCCACUAUGAAUAUUCUACACUGUCUUGAUGCAUUCUCCAAUUGAUAGGUAUUGGGCUGAUUCCAUGUUGUGACUACUGUGAAAAGAGCUGUGUUCAGCUUGGAAAUGAAAAUAUCUUUUCGGGCCGGCGCCGUGGCUCAAUAGGCUAAUCCUCCACCUUGCGGCGCCGGCACACCGGGUUCUAGUCCCGGUUGGGGCGCCGGAUUCUGUCCCGGUUGCCCCUCUUCCAGGCCAGCUCUCUGCUAUGGCCAGGGAGUGCAGUGGAGGAUGGCCCAGGUGCUUGGGCCCUGCACCCCAUGGGAGACCAGGAAAAGCACCUGGCUCCUGGCUCCUGCCAGGAUCAGCGCGGUGCGCCGGCUGCAGCGGCGGCCAUUGGAGGGUGAACCAACGGCAAAGGAAGACCUUUCUCUCUCUGUCUCUCUCUCUCACUGUCCACUCUGCCUGUCAAAAAAAAAAAAAAAAAAAAAAAAA